GCCAGAUAUAGGUGAAGGGGAGGAAGGCAGCAAAUCACACUGCCACGUGUGUACCUAUGCAACUAUCUUGCAUGUUCUUCACAUGUACCCCAAAACCUAAAAUGCAAUAAUAAAAAAAGAAAGUUAAGCAAAGGAGAGGAGAAAGGGAGAUGAGAGGAAUGGAGAGGAAGGAAAGGGGCAGGAGGUGGGGAGCAGCUGUCAGGAGGGAGAAGAAGCAGAAAACACCGGUUCCACCUCCAGGCUGUUGAAACCUCCUCCAUAGAUUUGGCCCCUGAAGGAGCUGGCAGUGUGGCCCCCACCCCUCUUAAGCCCCUUGCCCCCUGCCAAGGCACUGAGGUGGUGAUGGGGAGCACAAAUAGCCCCACUCCUCAGAGUUCUUUACACUAUCCACUCCCUCCCUCCAUGCACAUCCUCAGGGCACCUAGUGAGAACCUCCUGAGCCUGCUCUCCAGCAGGGCAGUACCCUCUUGCCUCCUCGUCCAACCUCCACAGGCCUCAGCAAGUCCCUUCUCCCACAGCAGACACCCUGGCCUACUCCUCCUCAUCAGCUGCAUCUCCUGCCACCUCUGCCUGGAACCCCGUGCUUUUGCUGACCAGCCGUGUUGUCAGUUUCCCCACACAAACCAAGGAGUGCACAGGUUGCUUCCUAAGUCUGGGGUGACAAACACACCGAUCACUACACCAGCUCACUCUAGUGCCAGGCGUGGGCUCAACCCUUGACACGCAUGACCCUACCAGGUGGGCACCAAAGUUAUCUCUGUUUUCCAGAGCUUACACUGAAGCUUGGAGAGACUAGCCAAUUUAAGGGGAGGUUGGCUGGCCUGUGCAGGAAGGUGUAAUAAACAAGGAAAGGAACACACAGAAAGAAUGAAUAUACAUCUAGCACCUACUAAGUACCAGGCUAUGCUAGGCAUGAGCAUUCCUUCCGGAUCUAAGAUGCUGUGAUUUGAAUGCCAAGCUGUCAUAUUUUUCUGAAACAGAGAUUUUUUAAAAAAAAAAACUGUUUAGUGAGAAGAGAGACAUUUCAUCUUCUGCAGACUUUAUUUUUUUUGCUAUUUACGCCAUGGCAUUUUCUGGUUUGAUAAGGUAAAGGGAGUCUCUCUCACCUGCCCCUUCUCCUAUUGUCAAUGUUCUUUUUUGUUCCUUUGCUUGCAGCGAGUCACACAGAAACACUUGCAGGAAGAACUCCAGAGAAUUUGGGAAGAAAGAGGAGAGAGGGCAGACAAAAGGUGCAUUUUUUUUUAAGAGACAAGAAAACAUAGGAAAAUUAAAGAUGUUCUCAAGUGUGUGGGCUGCUGCCUGACACAGGUUAACCCUGUCACAGGUCACUCUGCUCUGUUAAUUGCAUCCCAACCUUCUUCGGCUCUUCGGCAGUGAAAUCGCAGCAGAGGAGACGGUGCAGCUUGGUGCGCAUUGCUCAUUUGUGCCCACAUAGAAAGAAGUGCCAGGAUGCUCAGGACACCGGCUCCCUGGCUUCCGCAGUGCUUGUACAGUCCUGAAUCAGCAUGAGAGCUGUGGAUCUGCGUCCCCUGGCUGCAUGGCUGACUGCGUCUCCAUGGAGGGACCUGUUCUGGAGAAUACUCACGUGUUAACUUGUUUCUUCAGUCUAGGCCUUUCUUGGCCCCCUUGGUUACUCAUUCUGGAUGAUACACCUCUUAUUUCAGUUCAAAUGUCUCACGGAAGAGGCAUUGAAGAAAGAGUGGAUGCUCGUGUUUGUUGGCAGUAGGUAGCAUUUACCACUCCGGCUGUAGUAAAAGAAAAAAGGGAGAAAUUACAUAGAUUCUCCAUCUUUAAGGAAAAAGCAAUUAAAUCACCAAAGUCAGAUUCUCGAGUAAUUGCUGGGCCCUCGGAGGGGCAGGCGAGGUGAAGUGUGAAGCCCCAGGUCUCUGUCUUUGGGGCUGGCAUUGCCUGCUGGGGACUUCAAGCAAAGGCUGUGCCAGGGAAGGCAGCGUGCAGGGAGAAACCCAGAGUCUCUUGCCAGCCUCCCCUCCCAGCUGCUGUUGAUGCACUUGUCCCAGCUUCCUGGCUGUCCUGAGGCCAGGCAAGAGGGAGCAGGGCUCCAGCUACAGAAGUUAUAGGAGGCGACUCUCAGAGCCUUGAUUUCCUCCAUUGGAAAUACGGAAAACAGUAUCCUCCAGGCCUACUUUCCAAAAGCUGUUAUGAAGAUUACCUAGACUCAUACCUGUGAAGGCUGGUGAAAGAAUAAAGCAACCUAAACACACAAGGUGUUAAAAAUACCCCUUCCAACUAAAUAACAGAUCAGUUCAAAUCCCAGGCCUGCCCGACAGAGGCAGUCACAGUUGAGGGGUGGGGGCCCCCGGCCCUUACCAGGUGACCUCCCAUCAGUCAGGAAGAUGAUGACAUGCGGCAGGGCUGAGCACCACCUGGCUGGGAUCACUUCUCAUGCCUUCCUUUCUCAUUCUCCAGCCUGGGUCAGUAGCACAAUCCAGAGAGCCAGUAGGGGGUCUCUCCUGGUCCACGGAGGCAGAGGAGCUGUCUGAACGUGCAGAGCCGCCCCUGCCAACCUGGCCCAGUAUCAAGAGCUGCCCCUCACCCGGUGAUCUCUGCAAAUCACUGCUCACCCAGAAGGAAAACCAAUUUACAUUGGGAUGCUCUUCAGGAAGAUUCCUGCUAGCUUAUCUCAGAAGAACAGCAGCCUGUGCGUGAGCCUGUUCCCUUGAGAAUUUCCUCUUCCUUCGGCAGUGUCUUGAAAUGGCCACAUUUUCCAUUUCUGUGACUUCCUGUCAGCUUUUCAAAUGCUCAACUACAAACUAAAGUUAUUCUGGCAUUGACAAUGUGAUCUCAGGAUUUCCACAACUCUAGCUUUCCUCAACAUGAAUAUUGGGAUGAGUUUGGCAGCAGACUGUGUGAUAAGGAGCACUGGCAUGGGAGUCAGAAAGUGUUGUGAACCCUAUAGGGCAAGCGACAUCACCUCUCUCAACCUCACUGUCAUUAACUGUAAGUGAGAGAGUGAAUGAAGGAUGCUUCCAACUGUCAAAUCCUGUAAGUCAAGAGAACCUGUGCUCCAGAGGAGAACAUGUAUAUUGGCAAAAAGCUUCUGCUACACCAUGAACCCCAGAACUGUGAACACGUCCCAGUGGGCAGACAGCUGGCUGCCUACCAAAUCUAUCUUCCCAAUCUUUCAACGUAAUGGUCUAGCCCAGUAUGUGACCUCUCAGUUGGACACUAUAUUUCAAGAGUCCCUUGCUGGUGAGUGUCUGAGUUCCUUCCAAUGGAAUGUGAGCAGAAGUGAUGGGAGACGUUUCUAGGCCCAGCAUCUGAUGCAGCCUUCCCCAUGGUUGGUGCUGAACUGCAGAGCAGUUGAGGACCGACUGGCUUUGAGCAUGCAGGUGCAGGACUACUGUAUGAGAGAUGAAAAAACUUCUUUGUCCUUGAAAUGAACUUUUCCUCUAAAAUCGUGUGUAAACCUUGGGGAUCAUGCAUAAGAAUUAAAGAGAAGGAAGAAAAGAAA